rnacentral:rRNA from 1 species
UACGUAGGUGGCAAGCGUUGUCCGGAUUUAUUGGGUUUAAAGGGUGCGUAGGCGGUCCUAUAAGUCAGUGGUGAAAUACGGCAGCUCAACUGUCGAGGUGCCAUUGAUACUGUAGGACUUGAGUACAGACGAGGUAGGCGGAAUUGACGGUGUAGCGGUGAAAUGCUUAGAUAUCGUCAAGAACACCGAUAGCGAAGGCAGCUUACUAGACUGUAACUGACGCUGAGGCACGAAAGGUGUGGGGAUCAAACAGGGAU